CCUACGGGGUGCUGCAGUGGGGAAUAUUGCACAAUGGGGGAAACCCUGAUGCAGCGACGCCGCGUGAGCGAUGAAGGAUUUCGGUAUGUAAAGCUCUAUCAGCAGGGAAGAAAAUGACGGUACCUGACUAAGAAGCCCCGGCUAACGACGGGCCAGCAGCCGCGGUAAUACGGAGGGGGCAAGCGUUAUCCGGAUUUACUGGGUGUAAAGGGAGCGUAGACGGCUUGGCAAGCCAGAUGUGAAAGGCUGGGGCUCCACCCCAGGACGGCAUUUGGAACUGUCAUGCUAGCGUGUCGGAGAGGCAGGCGGAAUUCCUCGUGUCGCGGUGAACUGCGUAGAUCUUAGGCGGCACCCCAGUGGCGCAGGCGGCCUGCUGGACGAUGCCUGCCGUUGAGGCUCGAAAGCGUGGGGCGCAAACCGGAUUCGAUACCCGUGUCGUC
rnacentral:rRNA from 1 species